UACGUAGGGUGCGAGCGUUGUCCGGAAUUUAUUGGGCGUAAAGGGUGUGUAGGUGGCGCGCUAAGUCGGGUGUGAAAUUUCGGAGCUUAACUCCGAAACUGCAUUCGAUACUGGCGUGCUUGAGGACUGGAGAGGAGACUGGAAUUCAUGGUGUAGCAGUGAAAUGCGUAGAGAUCAUGAGGAAGACCAGUGGCGAAGGCGGGUCUCUGGACAGUUCCUGACACUGAGACACGAAGGCCCAGGGGAGCAAACGGG
rnacentral:rRNA from 1 species